CUUAUGGCUCCCAGUGAUGGGAAAUGUAGUCCCAGUCAGUCAGUGCGGAUUGUUACUCCAGGUGCUGUGGCUCCCAGUGAUGGGAAAUGUAGUCCCAGUCAGUCAGUGCGGAUUGUUACUCCAGGUGCUGUGGCUCCCAGUGAUGGGAAAUGUAGCCCCAGACAGUGCGGAUUGUUACUCCGUGCGCUAUGGCUCCCAGUGAUGGGAAAUGUAGUCCCAGACAGUCAGUGCGGAUUGUUACUCCGUGCGCUAUGGCUCCCAGUGAUGGGAAAUGUAGUCCCAGUCAGUCAGUGCGGAUUGAUACUCCAUGUGCUAUGGCUCCCAGUGAUGGGAAAUGUAGUCCCAGACAGUCAGUGCGGAUUGUUACUCCGUGCGCUAUGGCUCCCAGUGAUGGGAAAUGUAGUCCCAGACAGUCAGUGCGGAUUGUUACUCCGUGCGCUAUGGCUCCCAGUGAUGGGAAAUGUAGUCCCAGACAGUCAGUGCGGAUUGUUACUCCGUGCGCUAUGGCUCCCAGUGAUGGGAAAUGUAGUCCCAGACAGUCAGUGCGGAUUGUUACUCCGUGCGCUAUGGCUCCCAGUGAUGGGAAAUGUAGUCCCAGACAGUCAGUGCGGAUUGUUACUCCGUGCGCUAUGGCUCCCAGUGAUGGGAAAUGUAGUCCCAGACAGUCAGUGCGGAUUGUUACUCCGUGCGCUAUGGCUCCCAGUGAUGGGAAAUGUAGUCCCAGACAGUCAGUGCGGAUUGUUACUCCGUGCGCUAUGGCUCCCAGUGAUGGGAAAUGUAGUCCCAGACAGUCAGUGCGGAUUGUUACUCCGUGCGCUAUGGCUCCCAGUGAUGGGAAAUGUAGUCCCAGACAGUCAGUGCGGAUUGUUACUCCGUGCGCUAUGGCUCCCAGUGAUGGGAAAUGUAGUCCCAGACAGUCAGUGCGGAUUGUUACUCCGUGCGCUAUGGCUCCCAGUGAUGGGAAAUGUAGUCCCAGACAGUCAGUGCGGAUUGUUACUCCGUGCGCUAUGGCUCCCAGUGAUGGGAAAUGUAGUCCCAGACAGUCAGUGCGGAUUGUUACUCCGUGCGCUAUGGCUCCCAGUGAUGGGAAAUGUAGUCCCAGACAGUCAGUGCGGAUUGUUACUCCGUGCGCUAUGGCUCCCAGUGAUGGGAAAUGUAGUCCCAGACAGUCAGUGCGGAUUGUUACUCCGUGCGCUAUGGCUCCCAGUGAUGGGAAAUGUAGUCCCAGACAGUCAGUGCGGAUUGUUACUCCGUGCGCUAUGGCUCCCAGUGAUGGGAAAUGUAGUCCCAGACAGUCAGUGCGGAUUGUUACUCCGUGCGCUAUGGCUCCCAGUGAUGGGAAAUGUAGUCCCAGACAGUCAGUGCGGAUUGUUACUCCGUGCGCUAUGGCUCCCAGUGAUGGGAAAUGUAGUCCCAGACAGUCAGUGCGGAUUGUUACUCCGUGCGCUAUGGCUCCCAGUGAUGGGAAAUGUAGUCCCAGACAGUCAGUGUGGAUUGCUACUCCGUGCACUAUGGCUCCCAGUGAUGGGAAAUGUAGUCCCAGACAGUCAGUGCGGAUUGUUACUCCGUGCGCUGUGGCUCCCAGUGAUGGGAAAUGUAGUCCCAGACAGUCAGUGCGGAUUGUUACUCCAAGCGCUAUGGCUCCCAGUGAUGGGAAAUGUAGUCACAGACAGUCAGUGCGGAUUGUUACUCCGUGCGCUAUGGCUCCCAGUGAUGGGAAAUGUAGUCCCAGACAGUCAGUGCGGAUUGAUACUCCGUGCGCUGUGGCUCCCAGUGAUGGGAAAUGUAGUCCCAGACAGUCAGUGCUGAUUGAUACUCCAGGUGCUCUGGCUCCCAGUGAUGGGAAAUGUAGUCCCAGACAGUCAGUGCGGAUUGUUACUCCAUGCGCUGUGGCUCCCAGUGAUGGGAAAUGUAGUCCCAGACAGUGCGGAUUGAUACUCCGUGCGCUAUGGCUCCCAGUGAUGGGAAAUGUAGUCCCAGACAGUCAGUGCGGAUUGUUACUCCGUGCGCUAUGGCUCCCAGUGAUGGGAAAUGUAGUCCCAGUCAGUCAGUGCGGAUUGAUACUCCGUGCGCAAUGGCUCUCAGUGAUGGGAAAUGUAGUCCCAGUCAGUCAGUGCGGAUUGAUACUCCGUGCGCUGUGGCUCUCAGUGAUGGGAAAUGUAGUCCCAGACAGUCAGUGCGGAUUGAUACUCCGUGCGCUGUGGCUCUCAGUGAUGGGAAAUGUAGUCCCAGACAGUCAGUGCGGAUUGAUACUCCAGGUGCUAUGGCUCCCAGUGAUGGGAAAUGUAGUCCCAGUCAGUCAGUGCGGAUUGUUACUCCAUGUGCUAUGGCUCCCAGUGAUGGGAAAUGUAGUCCCAGACAGUCAGUGCGGGUUGUUACUCCAUGUGCUAUGGCUCCCAGUGAUGGGAAAUGUAGUCCCAGACAGUCAGUGCGGAUUGUUACUCCAUGUGCUAUGGCUCCCAGUGAUGGGAAAUGUAGUCCCAGACAGUCAGUGCGGAUUGUUACUCCAUGCGCUAUGGCUCCCAGUGAUGGGAAAUGUAGUCCCAGACAGUCAGUGCGGAUUGAUACUCCAGGUGCUAUGGCUCCCAGUGAUGGGAAAUGUAGUCCCAGACAGUCAGUGCGGAUUGUUACUCCGUGCGCUAUGGCUCCCAGUGAUGGGAAAUGUAGUCCCAGUCAGUCAGUGCGGAUUGAUACUCCGUGCGCUAUGGCUCUCAGUGAUGGGAAAUGUAGUCCCAGUCAGUCAGUGCGGAUUGAUACUCCGUGCGCUGUGGCUCUCAGUGAUGGGAAAUGUAGUCUCAGACAGUCAGUGCGGAUUGAUACUCCGUGCGCUGUGGCUCUCAGUGAUGGGAAAUGUAGUCCCAGACAGUCAGUGCGGAUUGAUACUCCAGGUGCUAUGGCUCCCAGUGAUGGGAAAUGUAGUCCCAGACAGUCAGUGCGGAUUGUUACUCCAUGUGCUAUGGCUCCCAGUGAUGGGAAAUGUAGUCCCAGACAGUCAGUGCGGAUUGUUACUCCAGGUGCUGUGGCUCCCAGUGAUGGGAAAUGUAGUCCCAGACAGUCAGUGCGGAUUGUUACUCCGUGCGCUGUGGCUCCCAGUGAUGGGAAAUGUAGUCCCAGACAGUCAGUGCGGAUUGAUACCCCAGGUGCUAUGGCUCCCAGUGAUGGGAAAUGUAGUCCCAGACAGUCAGUGCGGAUUGUUACUCCAGGUGCUGUGGCUCCCAGUGAUGGGAAAUGUAGUCCCAGACAGUCAGUGCGGAUUGUUACUCCGUGCGCUAUGGCUCCCAGUGAUGGGAAAUGUAGUCCCAGACAGUCA